rnacentral:rRNA from 1 species
UACGAAGGGGGGCUAGCGUUGCUCGGAAUUACUGGGCGUAAAGGGCGCGUAGGCGGAUAUUUAAGUUAGAGGUGAAAGCCCAGGGCUCAACCCUGGAAUAGCCUUUAAUACUGGAUAUCUUGAGUUCGGGAGAGGUGAGUGGAACUCCGAGUGUAGAGGUGAAAUUCGUAGAUAUUCGGAAGAACACCAGUGGCGAAGGCGACUCACUGGCCCGAUACUGACGCUGAGGCGCGAAAGCGUGGGGAGCGAACAGG